rnacentral:lncRNA from 10 species
UUAAAUAUAGACAAUCAUACAUCUUCAGUCAAAGAUUGUCAGAGUACAAAUAUUUCUGGAAUAAGACUCUUUCAUUACUUACUUUUACUAAAAGGGAACUAACCAGUAUUAAAAAUGAAGUAUAUGAUAAUUACCAAAACUGGACUUCAUUGAAAGGAGCAGUUUUUCUACAAAUUAAAUCUAUAAGUGAAACAGCCUUGACAGAAAUAGACAUACUGAAUAAAAGUUUGACAGUAUCCCAGAGAAAUAAAGUAUGCCUUGAAAAGGAAAUGAAAAAUCUGAAAUUGUUGUCAGAUGCAGCCAUAUUGAGAUCUCAGCAGAUUCGGACAUCUAGACAACAGGAAGUAAACUUGCAAACCAGAUGCUAUGAUUUGCAAAAAGAAGUACUAGGUAAAGAAAAGUCUUUUGCUGUUUUUGGUGACUAGUUAUAUAAGUACAUGAAUAAAUGUUUACAUUUUUACUUAUAAUUACAA